ACAGUGCGCUAUAUAAGGACGUGUUGCGGGCGUGCGCUCUCCUUUUCGUUCCCUUCGCUGAGGGCGCCGGUCCAGCGAGCAGGAGCGAGCAACAUGUGCUGGGGACCCGGCCUGGGAGAGCGAGGCCAGGUGCGGCUCCAGAGUAGAACCAGCAGGAAGCACCGGUGCUCUGGUUACAAACCCACUGUGUCCAUUGCCCUUCCUGACCCUAGUGGAGGUGGCAGCCGUCCAUGGCAGCAAGGGUGGAGCAAUGUGAGCCUGGGAGACCUGGCUCACUGAGAGAAAGGUGACAUGGUGACCUGAAGAGUCUUGGAAAGAGAGGACACUGCCCUGGUUAACAAGCCACUUGUGAGCCACUACUAGGAGAGAGUGGAACUAUUACGUUGUCCAUAAACAUAGACUUGAGGAUCUUCUAAAGGUGAAGGAGUUGUCAAUGUCCGCAUGAAGCAGAAGUUCCCCUGUGAAGUAGCAGAAAGCUCCUGUUAAUAUUGCGAACGUUUGUCAGUAACAGCAAAAUAUCCUGAGUCUAGGCUGUUGUAUCCACAUUGCUCUGCUCUGACUUCAUGGUCAAACUUCCCUCUUUCUGCGUGGAGUAAGAAAUACUGCAUGUCCUGCCUCCUUAAGACAUGCCAUGGAGCUUUAGUAAUUUAUUCUCUCAAAGCUCAUGAGCCAUUUCAGUGGAAGGGAUUGACCAUCUAUGAAUCUUGACCUCUUUUUAUGCAGUAACAUGCUAUGUCUAGUGUUCUUGUGUCCGUAAUGGCUGUAUUCACCCCAUGCAAGCUGGGUUCAACCCACUGCUGUAAUGUGGAAGGUUCUUUUGUACUAAAAAUCAUUAAAAGUACUGAGGUAACUUCUUAAAUGGAUUGAAGUGUGUGCUUCUGUCUGUAUAUGAAUGGGACGGUUGUGUGGUUAAGCAGAGCCUGGGCCUCUAGGCAUCAGGUUGAAAUCCAAGCUGUUUUAACCAGAUUUCCUGUUGGACCUCAGCCAAGUCAUUUGAUCUGGCUUCAGCACCCCAUGUGUAAAAUGAGGAUUAUGCUUUCCUAUGUUGUGAAGAUAAAUCCAUUAGUGUUUUUGAGGGGCUGAAAUACCACAGUAGUGGAGAUAACAAAAUACUUCGAUAGCCUGUUCUAGACAUGGCAUGCAGACCCUGGCAUGAGGUGAUGCCAAUAUCUUGGGAAGCUUUUAAAUGGUUAAAUUGAGGAAAAUACCCAACUGUCAACUUGUUUUCAGACAGAUAAAACUACCCCUCAAUCAUCCUCCUUGGAGACUCCUUUCUUAAAACCUACUUUGCAUGAGAUUCUGACAUGGUGGCUGGGGGCUCUAAAAGCUGUCUAGGUUUUGUUGGGCUUUUUACUUUACAGAACUGGAUGGUCAUAAUCAAAUACAUGCACCUGGGAAGGUGGGUGUUGCUUACUGGCAACUUAGGAGAGCCAGAGCCUCAGUUGCAGCAAGAAACUAAAAAGAACAAGGUUCUGGGGCCUAGUCGGUACAUACGGUCUUAGAGCUGGUAAUUCAUCCUGCACCAGAUGGUUUGCGUGCUUUGGGGCCGCUGUGAUAGCCAGACUUGCACUGAAGCAGUGAGUUCUUAGUGUCUUGGCUCCCUCAUCUCCCUGCUUCUGACACAUGGUAUUGGUAAAGGGUAUAUCUACACUACAGCAACAACGUUGGCAUAAUUAUUCUGGCAUAGCCCCAUAGUGUAGGCACAGCCUAUGCUGGCAAAGGGUUUUUCUGUUGGUGUAGAAACACCUCCCUGAAUGUGGGUAGCUAUGUUGACAGCACUCUUGCAUAGCUAUAGCAACUCUGAUGUAGUUUUUCACUCUCUUGACCAAUGCAGUUAUGCUGAUACAAUUUCCAUGUAAAAAGAAAAGGACUUGUGGCACCUUAGACUAACAAAUUUAUUUGAGCAUAAGCUUUUGUGAGCUACAGCUCACUUCGUUGGAUGCAUUCAGUAGAAAAAUUCCAUGUGUAGACCAAACCUCAGAACAGAUAGCGCUUAGUAAGGGUGGGCAACUGCAGAGCAUCUGGUGCCAGUUUUUCCUCUCCACCCUUGUCUUUCUCCCCAUUCAACUCCUGGAGUCUCCCAGAAGAGAACAAUGCCAUUUCCAUUAGCUGGAUCUGUAUCUACCCCUUGAGUUGGAGUGGAGAAGUUAGCCUAAAGGCAUUCUCAGCAGUUGCUGCACUCUUCCCUCAUUUCUUUUGACUUGCACAGAAAUAAAACUAGGCCCAUCCAAGGCUAAUAGUUGCUGCUAUAAAUUACAAAACAAAAUUAAUAAGCCUACACAACUCUAUGCCUAAAUAUCAUUUCCCCUCAAGAGCUCUGUUCUGUAGAUGCAGCCAGGUGACUUCAGAACUUAGAGAAAAACUUGUUCUGCAAUUUAAGGCCCUUCAGUGAGGUCUAGAGUUAGCCCCCUCAGAAAUCAAGGGGAAUCCAACUCGGUUGCCUCUGCUGAUCCUGUCAGUGUGACAGGAGGAAGAUAAUGUCUUUAGUGAUUACAUUUGCCAGUUCAGGCCUGUAGAAACAUUUCUUUAAUGAAAUGGAGGUACUUAAAUGCUGCAGCUUUCUACCCCCAUCUUGCUGACAUUUGUCUCAAACCCCCAGGCUACUGUUAAUACAGAUGCGUAAAUGCAUACUAACACACAGGAAAUCACUAAAGCAGAAAAAAGCCAGUCUGAGUGGCAUUACAAGUGCUUACACCUCAUAGUAGACAUCAGUUCUUCCUUCACACAGCCUGGAACUUCAGAUUACUUUUUAUCUUCAAAAUUGUUUGAGGCACUAAAUCACAAUACCCACGCAAGGUACAUGUACAUAUGCAAUGCCAGAUACGUCUGUAAGAAUUAUCCUAAUUUCAGAUAUGGGUAACAAUUCAAAAUUGAUUUUGCCCAAGUCAAAAAUGUUAUCACAAUUAGAGAUGAGGAUUGCCUUAGUCUUUGAGGUUUAGACCACAGUUAGUCAUGGGAUGGCAGCUCUGUACACCUAAUUUACAUAUUCUGAUGCCACUGAUAUUAAGCAGUAGUAAAAAUCUGUUUUGUUCCCCUCUUAACUGUUGUCAGCCUGUUCUAGUGUGUGCAGUGAUUUACCACAAGAUACAAACAUCCUAAUUACUUUGCCCUGUGUGAUGAAGCAGAGUUUCAGGUGAGGCGGCAGCUGUUCCUUUGGCAAGGUGACAGCCAUUCUCCAUCUGGCCUGAUUGCUAUGUGGCACACAGUAAUCCUGGCUGAGUGAUGUUUAGCUGUGAGCUGGAAGCAACUGCGUCAGGGUAUCUAGGGUCAGCCCUGGUAGAUGUUUGGCACUGGUUGAACUGAUGACUCCACCAGGGUCUGGCUAUGUUUGGAUAAACAAGCUGGUAGCACCUCUGCAUUCCUGCUGCAAUGCACAUUCAUGCUUCAGAGCUGAUACUAAGAGCUGGAAUGUGUUCGUUACCUAGCGGCGUCUAGAGUGGCAGGACUCCAUUCAAACUCCAGGCUUAAUGAUGAAAAUAGCUGUUACUGAUGUGCUAAUGUAGGGGAGUAGUGCAGCAUUAUGUACAUUCGAGUUGUUUCUAAAACCAAUUCUCAUGCCAUAUUCAUUAGAACCUCAAGGAGCAGGUUUAGUUUUCCACAGCUGUAGUUUUCCAUUGUGUCUGCAAUGUCCUGGCUGUGCAAAGCUAUAAAGUUAAUAGUUCAUACAUGCUUAAUACACUGCAGUGAGCUGUGUUUGCCUAGGGGCAAAUAGUACACCUGGAGGAAGUAUGUGCUAAAAUGUUAAAUUCUGUACACAAUAUUUUAAAAUUAUGCAAAUUGUAAGUCAAAAUAACACUAUAUAAUCACAUCAGUUUCAAUUAUUUUGGUAAUUUAUUUCAAAAUACCUGUCAGCGAGUAUGUCUGCAACAAUACAGAUACACAAAAAAUCCCCCCAGAGUAGAGAGUUAAAGAAACCCCUACAGCAGACCAGUUCCUGUUUCUCUGUGUGCCCAGCCCAGCCAGGUGGUCAGACACUCUUCUGACCCCACCCCACCUCAGAGUUCAGCCAUGGGGACCUCCCCGGCCCAGACACUCUCACCCCCUGCCAGAGGUGAAACUAAGCAGGUCUGGUAUGGCACAGUGGUAAGAAAGUGGUCACUGGUACCACCAGACCUGCUGAUGGGGCAAAAGGGGAAGCUGCCCUGGGGCUGGGGGCUCCUGGCAGCAGCCAGAACCCCAGGUCCUUUAAAUCGCUGCCGGAGCCCUGGGCAGCAUAGGCUAAGCAGUGCUGAGGGAAGAGCUAGGGGAGUCUGGCUCCAGCCCUUCCCCUUCUGCCUGGGGCCCUGCCCCUUCUGGGGGGCCCAGAGCUACCCCCUCCACCUUGCCCAGGACCCCAGCUGUCCUGUGUACCGGAAAGUCCUUUAAAUUACUUUCACCCCUACCCCAAUUCUCCUAGAGCCCAGGGAUCCAGGGGGAGAAACAGCCUGACUCUGGGUUUGCAUGGAAUUUCCUGUAUGCCAUCACCUCCUUCCUUCAGGGUGUGCUAGGAACUGCAGCUGCUGGGAACCCUCCAGUUCCCUCCUCCUGGCCUUGUUUUCUAUUUGCAAGUUGGGCUCAGCUGGGUCCAGUGGCCCCUAAUGGCAGCCAACAUCUCUGCAGCCCAUUUCUGUGGUGGUGGUGGGGGGGGGGAAGGAAAUUCUGUGCACACAACAUUAAUUUCUGCAAAAUUCUGCAUUGUGCAGUGGUGCAGAAUUCACCCAGGAGUAAAGUAGUUGCAGCUCUUAAUCACUGCUUCAAGCUAGUUAGUGGCAAUUCCUUAUGUUUCUUCAGCAAGUAGCAGUCAACUAGGCAGAGGAAAUAUUUAAGCAAUAAUUUCCUGGAGCGUUUAAAAUAUGGCUUUGUUAGUUCAAUGCCCAAUAGCAAGAGCCUAAUUAAUACUCUAACAGAUUACCAUAAAUCAUCCCCAGGUUGGGAGGGCAUUGCAUAUUUGUAGGAUAUUACUGCUACUUAGAACCAUAAAUGACAGUUUUCAUGGUGAAGGGAGGGGAAAGGGUGGCCGAGCGAACAGCUGCCUUUAGUGUGUGUAGCCACAAGACAGUGAGGGUGGAAAAUUGACUCUCAUAAUUUAAAGCAGUUUUUCAUUAAUGUGAGUAGCAAUUUUGCUCAUUUAGCUACUCCAAUCAGAAUAAUCUCUUGAUCUAGAGCAUACUGAUGUGGGAGCUAAAACACUUCUAAUACAGACAGUGUUAAUAAUUUAACUAUGUUUAGCAGACACAUCCUUUAUAAUAGGGAUUGAAGGCAGCUGAGCUCUGCUGGUUCCAAGGGAGUCCAAUAGGAACCUGUUUAGCCAGUUUGAGAGGGACCAGCUGGGAUGGAAUUUUCUCUUUGCCUUUUUUCCCUCAAUUUCUUUUCUCCAAGAAUAAUGGAUCAGGAUUUCUGCUCUGUCUCACAGGGUUACUCUGCAUGCAUAUGGGAAUACAGCUUAAAAUCUACCUCUGGCUACUGCUGAUUUUCUCACUGUGGAUUGGACAUCCCUGUGAAUGCCAACAAUUCUGGAUGUGGAGAACAGACAUAGACAGUCUAUGGCCCAGAUCCUCAAAGGGCUUGAGGCCCCCAACUCCCAUUGUGAUCUCAGUGAGAGUUAGGCAUCUAGAUACCUCUUAGGACCUGGACCAAAGUGACCUGCCUGAGCAGCAAGGAGCAGCACGGAAUCUGGCACAGCUGGGAGUUGAACACAAGUCCCAGGCUAGUGAUUGAAUCAUUGGACCAGCUUUCCUCUCCAGGAUAGGGAAGGAUCUGAUCAACUGAUUAAUUACCUGAUGAUGAUGACUUGCCUCUUCCUUUCCUUGCUGCUCAGUUGAUCCUUUUAAACUGAAAAAUGGUUAGAUGGCUGCUCUGGAGGCUGUGCAUGGAACAGAAGACAGAGGAAACUGAACUGAAUCAGUGAUUUGCUAUACAGAGUCCUGCUUCACCAAGCUCUAGCCCUCACCUGUACCAUCACUAGUCUAGUGGAGUGUUGUAAUUAAGAGAAGAAGAGGCAGAGAGACUGGAUAAAACUGGGUAUGCUAUGGGUGUUCAAGUCUUCAUUGCUGGAGUCCAGGGAGAGACAGUCGCUCUGGAUUAAUGAGCUGGCCAUGUGCUUCUCUGGCCAACGUUGAUGUUCCCACUGCUGAGAGCAGAGCUGAAAUCAGUGAGGGCUGUUUGCUUUCCCUAUAAAAUUACUUGUGUAACUUGCCUCCACCUGGAUGAAGAUUCUCUUUGCGGCACCUUGCAGCUCUAAAUCCUGAGAAUAAAACUGUUGACAUGCAUCCAACUGAACAAAUGCACAGAUAUCGGACCUACCUGAUCUUAAAAUAGGGCUGCAGAGGUGGCAGCAGGAGUCAACUGUUCUCUUCUCAUGACUUGCCCAUACCCAGCUGUCUUGCAAGCUGAUGUGAUCUCCUCUCCCUGUUUGCAAUAAGGCAGGGGCCACAUUCUACAGACAUGGUAACGGCACUGGUUCUUCCUUGUCAAUACAUAGCAGGGCCUGGAGUUCUGUACUGGAGCACAAUGCAGCAAGGCCAACAAAAAAUAUUUGUUUCCGGGUGAGAGGCUCUUAGGCCUAUGGGGCAAUACCCUGCUUAGAUAUGCUAACCAGAUUCCCCUUUAGUGUGAAAAGAGCCACGUUUAUUUUUGUUAAUUUAUGCAAUUAUUUGUGAAGGGUGUUUGUUGCUGAUGGUGUUUAGG